AGACCGAUAGCGAACAAAUACCGUGAGGGAAAGAUGAAAAGCACUUUGGAAAGAGAGUUAACAGUACGUGAAAUUGUUGGAAGGGAAACGCUUGAAGUCAGACUUGCUUGCCGAGCAAUCGGUUUGCAGGCCAGCAUCAGUUUUCCGGGAUGGAUAAUGGUAGAGAGAAGGUAGCAGUUUCGGCUGUGUUAUAGCUCUCUGCUGGAUACAUCUUGGGGGACUGAGGAACGCAGUGUGCCUUUGGCGGGGGUUUCGACCUCUUCACACUUAGGAUGCUGGUGGAAUGGCUUUAAACGACCCGUCUUGAAACACGGACCAAG
rnacentral:rRNA from 1 species